rnacentral:rRNA from 1 species
AGGUUGGCUCAGAAGCAGCCAUCCUUUAAAGAGUGCGUAACAGCUCACUAGUCGAAUGACUCUGCGCCGAUAAUUUACCGGGGCUAAGCAUACUACCGAAGCUAUGGAUCCCAAGGGAUGGUAGGGGAGCGUUCCAUGAACGGAGAAGUACGACCGAAAGGACGUGUGGAGAUCAUGGAAGAGAGAAUGCCGGUGUGAGUAGCGGAACGUGGGUGAGAAUCCCACGCACCGAAAACCCAAGGUUUCCAGAGGAAGGUUCGUCCGCUCUGGGUAAGUCGGGACCUAAGGCGAGGCCGAAAGGCGUAGUCGAUGGACAACAGGUAGAGAUUCCUGUACCCGUAUAUAUGUGAAGGAAUGACGGAGAGAGGAAGCUGCAGCCAGCGGCUGGAAGAGCUGGUGCAAGCGAGAUAUCGGGAUGGCAGGCAAAUCCACCAUCCGAAACGAGAAGGCGUGAAGCGUACGGAAAGCUACGGCGAGUACGGAAGGCAGUGGAGGAACUUCCAAGAAAAGUUUCUAACGUUAAGUAUAUAUGGCCCGUACCGAAAAUGGACACACAUGGGUGAGGAGAGAAUCCUAAGGUGAGCGAGAGAACUAUAGCUAAGGAACUCUGCAAAAUGACUCCGUAACUUAGGGAGAAGGAGUGCUCAUAGAGAUAUGAGCCGCAGUGAAACGGCCCAAGCGACUGUUUACCAAAAACACAGCUCUCUGCUAAGCCGCAAGGCGAAGUAUAGGGGGUGACGCCUGCCCGGUGCUGGAAGGUUAAGGGGAGGGGUUAACGCAAGUGAAGCCCUGAACUGAAGCCCCAGUAAACGGCGGCCGUAACAAUAACGGUCCUAAGGUAGCGAAAUUCCUUGUCAGGUAAGUUCUGACCCGCACGAAAGGCGUAACGAUUUGGGCGCUGUCUCAGCUGUAGACUCGGUGAAGUCUUAGUACCUGUGAAGAUGCAGGUUACCCGCGACUAGACGGAAAGACCCCAUGGAGCUUCACUGCAGGUUGAUAUUGGGAUUUGAUGCAGCAUGUACAGGAUAGGUAGGAGGCAAAGAGAUGGAUACGCCAGUAUUCAAGGAGCCGCUGUUGGGAUACUACCCCUGUUGUAUUGGAUUUCUAACCGGACGACGUAGAGCCGUUGACGGGACAGUGUCAGUCGGGCAGUUUGACUGGGGCGGUCGCCUCCCAAAGAGUAACGGAGGCGCCCAAAGAUACCCUCAGCUUGGAUGGAAACCAAGCGCAGAGUGCAAAGGCAAAAGGGUGUUUGACUGCGAGACCCACAAGUCGAGCAGGGACGAAAGUCGGGCUUAGUGAUCCGGCGGUGCUGAAUGGAAAGGCCGUCGCUCAACGGAUAAAAGCUACCCUGGGGAUAACAGGCUGAUCUCCCCCAAGAGUCCACAUCGACGGGGAGGUU